AGAGUUUGAUUCUGGCUCAGGAUGAACGCUAGCGACAGGCUUAACACAUGCAAGUCGAGGGGCAGCAUGAUUUGUAGCAAUACAGAUUGAUGGCGACCGGCGCACGGGUGAGUAACGCGUAUGCAACUUACCUAUCAGAGGGGGAUAGCCCGGCGAAAGUCGGAUUAAUACCCCAUAAAACAGGGGUCCCGCAUGGGAAUAUUUGUUAAAGAUUCAUCGCUGAUAGAUAGGCAUGCGUUCCAUUAGGCAGUUGGCGGGGUAACGGCCCACCAAACCGACGAUGGAUAGGGGUUCUGAGAGGAAGGUCCCCCACAUUGGUACUGAGACACGGACCAAACUCCUACGGGAGGCAGCAGUGAGGAAUAUUGGUCAAUGGCCGAGAGGCUGAACCAGCCAAGUCGCGUGAAGGAAGAAGGAUCUAUGGUUUGUAAACUUCUUUUAUAGGGGAAUAAAGUGGAGGACGUGUCCUUUUUUGUAUGUACCCUAUGAAUAAGCAUCGGCUAACUCCGUGCCAGCAGCCGCGGUAAUACGGAGGAUGCGAGCGUUAUCCGGAUUUAUUGGGUUUAAAGGGUGCGUAGGUGGUGAUUUAAGUCAGCGGUGAAAGUUUGUGGCUCAACCAUAAAAUUGCCGUUGAAACUGGGUUACUUGAGUGUGUUUGAGGUAGGCGGAAUGCGUGGUGUAGCGGUGAAAUGCAUAGAUAUCACGCAGAACUCCGAUUGCGAAGGCAGCUUACUAAACCAUAACUGACACUGAAGCACGAAAGCGUGGGGAUCAAACAGGAUUAGAUACCCUGGUAGUCCACGCAGUAAACGAUG
rnacentral:rRNA from 1 species